GCGGAAGUGAUGGAAUUGGUAUACAUGUACGUCUCAGAAGCGUAUGGCGCAAGCCUUGAGGGUUCGAGUCCCUCCUUCCGCA
rnacentral:tRNA from 1 species